UACAGAGGUCUCAAGCGUUGUUCGGAUUCAUUGGGCGUAAAGAGCUCGUAGGCGGCUUGUCGCGUCGGAUGUGAAAGCCCGGGGCUUAACUCCGGGUCUGCAUUCGAUACGGGCAGGCUAGAGUUCGGUAGGGGAGAUCGGAAUUCCUGGUGUAGCGGUGAAAUGCGCAGAUAUCAGGAGGAACACCGGUGGCGAAGGCGGAUCUCUGGGCCGAUACUGACGCUGAGGAGCGAAAGCGUGGGGAGCGAACAGG
rnacentral:rRNA from 1 species